UGUAAGAUAAACUAAAGGUAAGUUGUCAGACUCAUAAUCUGAAUAAGUAGGUUCAAAUCCUUCUCUUACAA
rnacentral:tRNA from 1 species